ensembl:miRNA Mir6403 microRNA 6403
AUUGUCCCAACCAGUCUGGCUCACCCACUGCCGCCUGUGCGGCCGCUGCCUCUGUCACCCCAUUAGCAACUUGGCAAAGGCGCUGUUUCCCAGUGGCAGAGCCCCUGAGCCAUCUGGGGGCGGGGCAGA